rnacentral:misc_RNA from 1 species
UAGUCAAUCUUUAAUAACGAAAGCGGAUAAAGAGAAGUAACGCCAUAUUGUGUUGAGGCGAGACAGAAGAAGAAAGUUCGUGUAAAUACACAAAAUAAACAUGGAAGACAUGUUAAUUGUUGUGAAAAACCCGAAGUAUUAUUCAGCGAAAGAAGAAGGGGAACUCUCAGAUGACGAUGAAGACGGAAUAGUUCGUAAUGAAGGCCGUGGUGAAACAGACGAGAACAAACCAGUAGAAAACAACAACAACAACAACAACAAACAUUAUUGUAGGAAACCUCCAUUGUUUAACAAUCAUUCCAGAGGUAUUUUUGAUAAAUUUGGUAACAAUAUGAGAGAUCCUUCCUGUGGUAAUGGUGCUCCUUUCCCAUUGUCUCCAAACCGUAGCGGUGAAGACAGCCCAAGUGGGUACUUCAAAAAACGGCGACCACCCCCGCCACCUUCGUUAUCUUGUGGUAUGAUGAAUCCGGGUGGCCGUAGAGACAACAGCAACCCUAUGUCUUCUGACAUGUGUGGUAGUAAUUCUAAUACAAGUGUUAGUGGUGGUUACUGGGCACCUCCGCCACCUUUAAGACCACAUCACCCGUCACGAAUUCCUCAACAAAUGCCACCGAUGUCUCACCACCCUUAUCGUCCUUCGCCUCCAAGGUGUCCAGGUGGACCGGGUGUUGAGAACCUUGGCCCUGGAGGACAUGGUCAGAUGCCUCCUGGUAACAGAGAUGGUCUUCCUCCUGGGCCUUGGCAAGACAAUCGUCGAUACGGUCCUAUGACUCCUCGCAGUAAUUUUCAAUUAUGGGAGAAGAAACGGAGAAUGCGUGAGAGUCGUGGAUCGCUGUUUUCUGUUGGUGCUCAUCAAAUGUCAUCUCUCAAGGAAAACAGUGACUAUGAAGACCUGUUGAGAAAGUACCGUAGUAUUCAAAAACAAAUAGCCAAUCUUGAUGAAGAAGAGAAUUUAGCUGUUCAGGAUAAAUCUACUCAGUCUCCUGGCAACAAGAAUUGGGACUCCUAUCGAACUAUUUCUGUUAGCUCCAAAGGUUCUCAAUCUCAUGAAUCAUCUUCAGAGUCUAAUAAAAAAACAAAAAGUCGAUGGAAUCCACCAAAAUCUGGGUCAGAAAGUAAUGAUAAGAGAGUAGUUUUUGUUAAUUCUCACAAGGCUGAAGAUGAGGAUGAUGAAAUAGAAGAACUGCGACGCAUUGCUUUAGCCUCAACAUCAGAAAAUAACAAACCUAAACCCUCUGUUUCAAAAUCCUCUCAGUCAAAGCCUGUUAGUCGGUCAAGAUCUGAGACUUUGCGUCGGAAGACAAACUCUUCAAAUAGAUCGUCAUAUAAAAGAGAGUCAACAGUGUUGAGAGAACAAUCCUGUAAUAAAAGCGGAAUCAAACGGAAACUUGGAUUCCUGAAGCACCGACCAGCUUACCGUUCGUGUCGUAGAAGAUUGAGUUCCAGUGAAGAUAAGUCAAAAUUGGUAAAUAACCAACGCAGAGAGAUAAAUAAAAUUCUUGAAGUAGAUGACCCAGUUGAACAAAUAGAGAGACUAGCGAAGUAUCUCAGUGAAAAGAAGAAGGAAUUGGCAAUUAACAAUAAGCCUCCAUCCUGUUUGUCCCAGCUGAAUGAAACCAAAAGCGAUGGUAAAACAAGUAAGGUGCUCCAAGACAACUAUGAAGAGGUAGCAAUGGAAAUUGAUUCUGAUGAUGGUCUUGUUGCUGUUAAUGAAAUUGAAGACAUUCAUAUACAAAGAGAGCCAUCCCUUAUGAGUUCUAUAUCUGAACUGCCGCCAGUAUCUAACAGAAAUGGUCAAGAUAUGAACUUUGAAAGCAAUCCCAAAAAUUGGGUGACUCUAAUACCACCUCCUCCUCCUCCGCCUCCGCCGCCACCUCCACCACCGCCGCCACCACCUCCACCUCUUGUUGACAAGUCUGAGAAAGUUAAGCCCAAUGAACUCUCUCUCCUUGUGUCUAGUGUUGAUUCCUCAUCACAACUACCAUACACUCUUGAUCCACUUCUAAGUCCAAAUGUACAACCGUUGAUGUUUCACAGUCUAGUACCACCACUUCCACCCCCUCCACCACUACCUGAUGAGAAACCACCGGAGAAGCCACCUGAGCCAGACUAUGAAGAAGAUGAAGAGGAGGAGAAGCUGCUACGGGCACAGUUGCUACAAUCAAUGGCCAUACGUCGCAAAGAAAGUGUUCAGAUCCCACCUAAGGCUAUUGUUGAUGAUACUUCAGGGAAAGAAUCGCCAUUUUCUCCUAGGAGUCAGUCUCCUCACAACACUGAUACAAACUUACCUGAUAAGAAACAGCCUCCUCAGCAACAGCCGUAUUGUGCUCCAAAGAUUCCGAAGCAUCCUUCUGUAGUAAUAAACUUGGCUGAGGAUUCUACUGAUAGUGAACAUGAGGCAGAAGCAGAAAGUCAAAAACAGAACAUUCUGUCUGGUAUUGACCAAUUUCUUAAAGAUGCUCGCAAAUCAGUUGAGACCAAGAAGAACAGUAUGGAAUCAAAAGACGUUAGUAACAUUAAGAAAAAUAUCAGCCUGAAUAAGCAGGAAGUAGAUUUGUAUACUGCAGACAGGGGCUUUCGGGAACUCGAAGAGAAAUAUGUUGCUCAAAGAAAACUAAUGUUACAAGACCAAAGAGAAUUGAAAGCUCUAGUAACCCAAGCAUCAAAAGUCCUUACCAAAAUCAAAUCAACAGAAAAAAAGUGUGAGAUUUUCAGGAAAAAUCUGAAAAACUCUGAUCAUUUGGUUGCUAUGUAUCGUAAACAAGAUAUUAAAAUUAAAGACAAGAUACAACUUGUGAAGAUUCAGCUUGCUCAUAAUGAGUCCACGGUAUUACAGUUAGAAAAGAAUCUCCUACAAAUUGGGAAACGUCUUUAUGGUGCCUGCUACCAACCCCGUACAAUUGCUGUUGAUAGUGCUGGAAACAAAAGGGUAUUGCCCCUUCUUUCACAUAAUCAGCUUAAAACAAAAAUUGAGGAUAUUCCUCAUAAAAGACAACAACUUCAACAGAUGCAGCAACAGUAUGCACUAAUGUUGCAGAAGCUACAGACUCAAGCCAAUAAGAAGAUUACCAAAUCAUCAGUCCUUCAGCUGGAGAAAAUUUCAUUAGACUGUACUGAGGAAGCUGAGGCAGCCUCUCAACAAAUUGCUGAGAAAAUAGAUUCUCGACGACGUUCAAUGAUUUCACUUAACUCCAAAAUGAAGCCAGAGAUCAUCCAGAACAAAGAAAAUAUUCAACCAGAUAUACGUGUCCCUCAGCAAUUAGAUAAGACAGAAUAUAACUUUGAAAUGCCUGAAAAUUCACAGCUAGCAAACCUUAAAACGAUUUUGCAUGAAAAGAUGCAAAAUUUAAUAGAACCAGCACAAUCAAAAGCUGUUUCUUGGGAAAAUUUCUCUCAUUUGACUCCACCUUCAGAUUCUAUUCCUUAUCCUAAAUCUGAUAAUCAGUCCCUGAAUAAUCUCAAAAUGUCCCAAGCUUUAAGAUCAUAUAAGCCAUAUAAAAGUCCCUUGUUACAUUUUCGAGCAUAUCGUUUCAGUCCUUUUCUUCGUACAAAAGAGAAUUUGUCCCUUUCUAGCCAGAGUUUCUCUCAUAAACUGAACUGCAAAAAUAUUCUCUGUCAGUAUGAUCUUCAAGGAACCUGCAAUGACCAACAGUGUAAAAGUCAACAUUUGAAGGAUUGUUCCAUGUCAACACAGGAGAUUUUACAAGAUAUUGUAUCCUAUGCUCCUGCUCUAACUGGUGCUUCUAAGGAACAAUCUGGAGAAAAAAUAGCUGGCCAAAUUUGUGAUUAUGUAGAAAAUAUAAUGAAUCAAAACCAAGGUAGAAUGACUGUUGAUGAAUUGUGUUUACUUCAGAUCAGCAAAGUAAAUGAAUUUGUGCAUCAUGUUCCUCCACAUACCAUGUUUUUUGAACCACGAUGUUGGAAACCAAAUCAAGAAAGUCUGCCUGAUACUGUAGUUGACAUUGACAAAAUUUACACUCAGGAAACUGAUCUCAACCCCCUCUUCAUGAGUUCAAAACCAGAUGUUUUGUCUGAGUGGGAAGAUAUAAUUGAAGAACAAGAUGUACGUUAUUUCGAUAUUGGUAACAAUACAGCAGCAAUCCUAGAUUUGGAGGCUGCUGUACUGGAGAAUCCUCAGAACGAGCAACUGUGGUUGAAACUUGCAUACAAAAAGUUGUCUAGUCGAAGCAGUGAUGCUGAAUCAGGUCACCUAGAUCAAGCUUUGAAUGUAUUAGCACGUGGUCUAGAAAACAUGAAACAGUCUCCAGAUCUCUGGCAAUAUUAUUUACAGUUGUAUAGUCAACAUCCAGACAGCAAAAAUGACCUUGUUGAUAUGUGUUGUGUUGCCAUUCAAAAUGCUCCUUCAUAUACUUUAUGGUGGCAGUACCUCUGUGCUACGGAAAACUAUUUCAGUAAGAUUGAAAUAUGUAAGCAGAUGCACCAAUAUUUAAAGAAGCAGGAGCCCAGUGAAGUAGUAUCACAACAUAUCACUGAAGUUUCACUAUACCGAUUGGGUAUUACAGUUGUUAGUAAUCGCUUCAAAACUGGAUUGUUGUUUUUCAAGAAUCUACUGCAGACUCCCUCCUCUCAUGAUGAAGAAUUGAUGUCAAUGCUACGCCCAAGUGAUCGAGCUUUGUUAUGGCUCUGCUAUAUCUAUUUACAUGAAUUUCAGCGGUUACCUGACCAACUAUAUGAUUCAACAGGUCAUUUUCUUGACCAUUUGUUCCCUAAGUCUCUCCACAUAGAUUGGUAUAGCCAUUCCAAGCUGCAGUGUGAUAUCAAAUUCUUACAGAAGCUUUAUGAAGAGUGUUUGACUUUCUGUUUACAAACUGAUGGUGAAAGAACUGAUGAGCAUGACAAAGUGUCUUCUGAAGUUUACUGUAACUUUCUAAAACUUCUUCACAGUCAGUCCAGAAUGGAUGAAGCCCUUUCUAUAGGGCGUGAAGUGUUAAUGAAGUGGCCACACUUGGAUGACAUUUGGCUCUCAAUGGCUGAAUUUUAUUCAGCAGACAAGAACGUUACUGCUGUUUGGCAGAUAUUUGAUGAGGCACUGAAAACUGGAUGUUACUCAGCAAAGCUUUACUUGUAUGCAUCUCACAUGGCAUUGAGUUUGACUGAUUCUGAAUGUGCAUUAAGAUAUCUGGAGCAGGCAUCAAUAUCUUGUUUCUUGAUAGACAUUACUGAUAGUCGUUGUGAUCCAAACAUUCUUUAUUGCUGUCUACUUCGUCAGACCAUCCCUCUUGACUAUAAAAUACCUGAUUAUUGUGAAAAUAUUUCUCCAGAAGUUCUUCAAAAGAAUCAGUUAUAUUUCUGGCUUACUUAUUGUUUAUUAUUGGAGUUACAAAGUGAUUAUAGUCAAGCGAUUGAAGGAUAUGAAACUGCUUUGUCCGCUAUGAAAUCAACAUCUGACAUUGCUCAAGUUUGGCUACAUUACUUGAACUAUCAAAUUCGCCAAGCAGCUCAUGAAAGAAGCAGUGCUGCUGAUAAACUUCAAAGCCUGGUUAUUCGUAGCUUGACUUGCCUUCCAAGUCGAGUGGAGACCUCUACUUCUCGAUACUGGCAUGACCACCAGCAUCAUAACAAAAUCAUUGAUCUUUAUAUUAACUGUCUGGAAUCAACUGAACAGAAGAUGGCUGCUUAUGAUAAAUUCCUUACUAUCAUGCCUAACAAUAUUGAACUCAUACUCAGAGCUGUUGACCUGGCUGUGAGCUGUAAUGAUAUGUGGAGAGCUUUAUCAUUUUGUCAAACUGGGGUCCAUGAAAAACUUCCUUGUAUCAGUUUGUGGAACAAAGUAACUGCAUUGACAGUCCUUAGAUGUAGCCAGAUUGAGGUGCAACAAUUAUUUAUCAAAGCUGUCCGAGUGCUACCCUAUGCUGUAUCAUUGUGGAAACAUGUAACAAAGAUUUUUAUCAAUUUUUAACCCUCUCCCUCCAUUCAGUAGUCCUCAGUCUAGUUUAGUUGGUUGGUGGGGACAUGUAUAUAGUUAUUAAAUUAUUUUGUCUUGCUAAGAGCUAGUUAUUAUUGAUACCAACCAGUAUUAAAUUCUUCAUUACUCACCUUUUUUUUUUCUAAUAAAUUCUUUUGGACAAAAAUAAAUUAAAUUUACAAAUAACAUUUAAAAAAAAAUUAGCUUAUGUAUUUCGUUUGUAGAAACCAGUUAGCUUUUAUUUCCAUUUUCAUUCUCUUUUAAAUAAACCAAUCCAUUUUUGCAAUUUCAUUUUCCUUGUAUUUCCUCCUUGAUGAAUGUUCUUUACCAAGUCUGAUUAAGUAAUGGUUUUAAGUUACCAAUCUUUGUAUAUAUCUUAGUUAUAUAUGCUUGACACUGAAUCACCAUUGUAUGUUGACAUAUUUUUCUUGAAUUGUGUUUUUUCUCAACUUAAAAUUUGUAUAUUUAUAUUUGUCCAACUUCUUUGAUUAUUGAAACCAAAACUUUCUUUAGAUCAGUGAUUUAAAGUAUUGUACUUCUUUUUUUUACUAGUUAAUAUGUAAGGUCAAAAGAAAAAGCAGCUACAGUGUAGUUUAUCUUAAGAGUCGGCCAUUCUAUCAGCAGAGAAAAUAGUAGUAUAUAUAUAUUUUAAUUAUAUAUUUCUGAACUUAGAGUCCAAGAUACUUUAGUAAAUAUAUAAUUGUAGAUAUCUGUUGAUAACCAUUGUUUUAGUUCCUUUUCUUCAUUAUCUUAUUCUCACUUUAUAUUUUUUUCAUUUUCUGUUUAUUUAUCUUUAUCUAGUUCCUGUUGUUUGAAGUGACUAUUGGAGCCAAGUCCAAUGUGCUGCAGAUUAUCCAGCGUUGUCAGCAGCUUGGACUCAAUAUUGAUGGCUUUGUGAAGACAAUUUCCAGGUGACAGGCAGUAAAUAAAUAAAUAAAAGAUAAACUUUUACUUCCUACUUUGAAAACCACAGCAAACUGAGAUUAGAGAAUCUGGAAGUAUUUUAGCUUUCAGCAACAUUACUAGUUGGAUCUUUAUGCUUUCUUUUCUGGCACUUUACUAAUGUGACUGGUUAAGGAAAGCAAGUAUAUUUGUAUAAAUUUUGAAAGCAAACCCUUUUAGUAAUAUUUAAAAAGUUAAUGUUUGACAUCCAUCACAGUAUUACUGUGUUGGUAAAGCUAAACAAAUCUCAGUUUUUCUGUUAUAUGGGUCUAUUAUGGCCACUGGUAUUCACUACAGGCUAGUUACUACUACUGCUACAACAAGCUGAAUUCAUUCCUGGUCUCUUGCUGUCACUGCUGAAUAGUGCUGGUAAUGUUACUAAACCACAGUAAGUAUUAUGUUCCUCUACUUCCUUUACUUCAAAAAGAAUAAAAGAAAAGAAAAUGCAAGAUGCUGUUUACUCAAAAUCCAAGUAGAUCUAACAGCAUCCAUGUAUUUCAUGUAUAGGAUUAAUUUCUCCCUUCUUUGCAGAUUAUCUGAUGUUGUCUUUUAAACUCUAAUGAUUAAUUGCUCAAUGUCUGGAAAGAUGAAUAUUGAAUACUUGAAAUAUUUGGCAAUAUUUACCAAAUUCUGUGUAUGAGUAUGAUUGCAAUGCAAUGGCAACUACUUAACAUAAAAAACAAAUUUCACUUGUUGAGUAUGAAUACAUUCUCUUGUGCAAAAGAUAAAAUGACUGCGUGUGGAUGCCUGAGUGUAUGUAUUUGAAAGUUGGACCUGAUGAAGCUAACUUUAUGUAAAUGGUUGAACUUUCAUUGUUGAACUUUAGCUGUCUUCUUGCUAUAUUGUAGUUGCUUCUCGGUUUCAUAGUUAACUACUCAAUAACCUCAUCAAGAGUUUCAUGAUUUUUUUUAUAUAUAUAUUAAUGCCCUAAUCAAAUUUCUAUUCUCAGGUUUUAAUUAAAAAUUUUCACUGUAAAUAAUCUUU